rnacentral:piRNA from 1 species
UGAGUGUGGACUUGCGUUGUUAAUGUGAAA